rnacentral:rRNA from 1 species
GAUUAAGUUAUUAAGGGCGCACGGUGGAUGCCUUGGCACUAGAAGCCGAUGAAGGACGUUACUAACGACGAUAUGCUUUGGGGAGCUGUAAGUAAGCUUUGAUCCAGAGAUUUCCGAAUGGGGAAACCCAGCAUGAGUUAUGUCAUGUUAUCGAUAUGUGAAUACAUAGCAUAUCAGAAGGCACACCCGGAGAACUGAAACAUCUUAGUACCCGGAGGAAGAGAAAGAAAAUUCGAUUCCCUUAGUAGCGGCGAGCGAAAUGGGAAGAGCCCAAACCAACAAGCUUGCUUGUUGGGGUUGUAGGACACUCUAUACGGAGUUACAAAGGACGACAUUAGACGAAUCAUCUGGAAAGAUGAAUCAAAGAAGGUAAUAAUCCUGUAGUCGAAAAUGUUGUCUCUCUUGAGUGGAUCCUGAGUACGACGGAGCACGUGAAAUUCCGUCGGAAUCUGGGAGGACCAUCUCCUAAGGCUAAAUACUCUCUAGUGACCGAUAGUGAACCAGUACCGUGAGGGAAAGGUGAAAAGCACCCCGGAAGGGGAGUGAAAUAGAACCUGAAACCGUGUGCUUACAAGUAGUCAGAGCCCGUUAAUGGGUGAUGGCGUGCCUUUUGUAGAAUGAACCGGCGAGUUACGAUUUGAUGCAAGGUUAAGCAGUAAAUGUGGAGCCGUAGCGAAAGCGAGUCUGAAUAGGGCGUUUAGUAUUUGGUCGUAGACCCGAAACCAGGUGAUCUACCCUUGGUCAGGUUGAAGUUCAGGUAACACUGAAUGGAGGACCGAACCGACUUACGUUGAAAAGUGAGCGGAUGAACUGAGGGUAGCGGAGAAAUUCCAAUCGAACCUGGAGAUAGCUGGUUCUCUCCGAAAUAGCUUUAGGGCUAGCCUCAAGUGAUGAUUAUUGGAGGUAGAGCACUGUUUGGACGAGGGGCCCCUCUCGGGUUACCGAAUUCAGACAAACUCCGAAUGCCAAUUAAUUUAACUUGGGAGUCAGAACAUGGGUGAUAAGGUCCGUGUUCGAAAGGGAAACAGCCCAGACCACCAGCUAAGGUCCCAAAAUAUAUGUUAAGUGGAAAAGGAUGUGGCGUUGCCCAGACAACUAGGAUGUUGGCUUAGAAGCAGCCAUCAUUUAAAGAGUGCGUAAUAGCUCACUAGUCGAGUGACACUGCGCCGAAAAUGUACCGGGGCUAAACAUAUUACCGAAGCUGUGGAUUGUCCUUUGGACAAUGGUAGGAGAGCGUUCUAAGGGCGUUGAAGCAUGAUCGUAAGGACAUGUGGAGCGCUUAGAAGUGAGAAUGCCGGUGUGAGUAGCGAAAGACGGGUGAGAAUCCCGUCCACCGAUUGACUAAGGUUUCCAGAGGAAGGCUCGUCCGCUCUGGGUUAGUCGGGUCCUAAGCUGAGGCCGACAGGCGUAGGCGAUGGAUAACAGGUUGAUAUUCCUGUACCACCUAUAAUCGUUUUAAUCGAUGGGGGGACGCAGUAGGAUAGGCGAAGCGUGCGAUUGGAUUGCACGUCUAAGCAGUAAGGCUGAGUAUUAGGCAAAUCCGGUACUCGUUAAGGCUGAGCUGUGAUGGGGAGAAGACAUUGUGUCUUCGAGUCGUUGAUUUCACACUGCCGAGAAAAGCCUCUAGAUAGAAAAUAGGUGCCCGUACCGCAAACCGACACAGGUAGUCAAGAUGAGAAUUCUAAGGUGAGCGAGCGAACUCUCGUUAAGGAACUCGGCAAAAUGACCCCGUAACUUCGGGAGAAGGGGUGCUCUUUAGGGUUAACGCCCAGAAGAGCCGCAGUGAAUAGGCCCAAGCGACUGUUUAUCAAAAACACAGGUCUCUGCUAAACCGUAAGGUGAUGUAUAGGGGCUGACGCCUGCCCGGUGCUGGAAGGUUAAGAGGAGUGGUUAGCUUCUGCGAAGCUACGAAUCGAAGCCCCAGUAAACGGCGGCCGUAACUAUAACGGUCCUAAGGUAGCGAAAUUCCUUGUCGGGUAAGUUCCGACCCGCACGAAAGGCGUAACGAUUUGGGCACUGUCUCAACGAGAGACUCGGUGAAAUCAUAGUACCUGUGAAGAUGCAGGUUACCCGCGACAGGACGGAAAGACCCCGUGGAGCUUUACUGUAGCCUGAUAUUGAAAUUCGGCAUAGCUUGUACAGGAUAGGUAGGAGCCUUUGAAACGUGAGCGCUAGCUUACGUGGAGGCGCUGGUGGGAUACUACCCUAGCUGUGUUGGCUUUCUAACCCGCACCACUUAUCGUGGUGGGAGACAGUGUCAGGCGGGCAGUUUGACUGGGGCGGUCGCCUCCUAAAAGGUAACGGAGGCGCUCAAAGGUUCCCUCAGAAUGGUUGGAAAUCAUUCAUAGAGUGUAAAGGCAUAAGGGAGCUUGACUGCGAGACCUACAAGUCGAGCAGGGUCGAAAGACGGACUUAGUGAUCCGGUGGUUCCGCAUGGAAGGGCCAUCGCUCAACGGAUAAAAGCUACCCCGGGGAUAACAGGCUUAUCUCCCCCAAGAGUUCACAUCGACGGGGAGGUUUGGCACCUCGAUGUCGGCUCAUCGCAUCCUGGGGCUGUAGUCGGUCCCAAGGGUUGGGCUGUUCGCCCAUUAAAGCGGUACGCGAGCUGGGUUCAGAACGUCGUGAGACAGUUCGGUCCCUAUCCGUCGUGGGCGUAGGAAAUUUGAGAGGAGCUGUCCUUAGUACGAGAGGACCGGGAUGGACAUACCUCUGGUGUACCAGUUGUCGUGCCAACGGCAUAGCUGGGUAGCUAUGUGUGGACGGGAUAAGUGCUGAAAGCAUCUAAGCAUGAAGCCCCCCUCAAGAUGAGAUUUCCCAACUUCGGUUAUAAGAUCCCUCAAAGAUGAUGAGGUUAAUAGGUUCGAGGUGGAAGCAUGGUGACAUGUGGAGCUGACGAAUACUAAUCGAUCGAAGACUUAAUCAA